AUUGAACGCUGGCGGCAGGCCUAACACAUGCAAGUCGAACGAGUGGCGGACGGGUGAGUAAUGUCUGGGACACUGCCCGAUGGAGGGGGAUAACUACUGGAACCGGUAGCUAAUCCCGCUUACCAUCGGAUGUGCCCAGGUUGGAUUAGCUAGUAGGUGGGGUAACGGCUCACCAAGGCGACGAUCCCUAGCUGGUCUGAGAGGAUGACCGGCCACACUGGAACUGAGACACGGCCCAGACUCCUACGGGAGGCAGCAGUGGGGAAUAUUCGACAAUGGGCGCAAGCCUGACGCAGCCACGCCGCGUGUAUGAAGAAGGUUUUCGGGUUGUAAAGCACUGUCAGUGAGGAGGCGGUAUCCGCAGAAGAAGCAACGGCUAACUCCGUGCCAGCAGCCGCGGUAAUUC
rnacentral:rRNA from 1 species